GUAUAAUAUGGAGCUCUUGAUACAAUACGUUGGAUUUGGCAAUAGACAAUCACAUUUACUGGUAUAGUUCGACGAAAAAAUACUAAGUAAUUGGAGUUUAUUGUAGAUCAGAGAGAGAUAGAUUCUUCCACUUUACGUAUAUUAUUUAUACAACAAAAGACAAAUCGACUAAAACACUAGUUAUAUGUACAAAUAUAAAUGAAAUAUGUAUAUUCCACAGCUCGAA